GACGAACGCUGGCGGCGUGCCUAAUACAUGCAAGUCGAGCGAAGUUUUUCUGGUGCUUGCACUAGAAAAACUUAGCGGCGAACGGGUGAGUAACACGUAAAGAACCUGCCUCAUAGACGGGGACAACUAUUGGAAACGAUAGCUAAUACCGGAUAACAGCAUAAAUCGCAUGAUAUAUGUUUGAAAGUUGGUUUCGGCUAACACUAUGAGAUGGCUUUGCGGUGCAUUAGCUAGUUGGUGGGGUAAAGGCCUACCAAGGCGACGAUGCAUAGCCGACCUGAGAGGGUGAUCGGCCACACUGGGACUGAGACACGGCCCAGACUCCUACGGGAGGCAGCAGUAGGGAAUCUUCCGCAAUGGGCGAAAGCCUGACGGAGCAACGCCGCGUGAGUGAAGAAGGAUUUCGGUUCGUAAAGCUCUGUUGUUAGGGAAGAAUGAUUGUGUAGUAACUAUACACAGUAGAGACGGUACCUAACCAGAAAGCCACGGCUAACUACGUGCCAGCAGCCGCGGUAAUACGUAGGUGGCAAGCGUUGUCCGGAAUUAUUGGGCGUAAAGCGCGCGCAGGUGGUUUAAUAAGUCUGAUGUGAAAGCCCACGGCUCAACCGUGGAGGGUCAUUGGAAACUGUUAAACUUGAGUGCAGGAGAGAAAAGUGGAAUUCCUAGUGUAGCGGUGAAAUGCGUAGAGAUUAGGAGGAACACCAGUGUCGAAGGCGGCUUUUUUGGCCUGUAACUGACACUGAGGCGCGAAAAGCGUGGGGGAGGAAACAGG
rnacentral:rRNA from 1 species